GGUACAUGAGCUGGGUUCAGAACGUCGUGAGACAGUUCGGUCUGUAUCCGUCGUGGGCGUGGGAGUGUUGAGGGGUCUCGUCCUUAGUACGAGAGGACCGGGACGAAGUGACCGCUCGUGUACGGGCUGUUCCGCCAGGGGCAGCGCCCGGUAGCGAUGUCGCGCAGAGAUAACCGCUGAAUGCAUCUAAGUGGGAAACUCGCCCCAAGAUGAACACUCCUGGAUCUUAAGAUCCCUGAAGGGCCCUGGGAGACUACCAGGUUGAUAGGGCGCAGAUGUACGGGCCGCGAGGCCUUCAGUCGAGCGCUACUAAUCGCCCGUGCAGUUUGAUCUC
rnacentral:rRNA from 1 species